CAUUUCACUCUACUGGGGAACAUAGAGGCCAGAGAUUGCGGCCUGGGCUUCAUUGCCAAUGGGAGUCAACAAUGUGAUGAUACAGAUGAGUGUAAAGAGUGGGACAAUACCUCACCCUGUGGAAGUAAUGCCGCGUGUUUCAACACAUGGGGAAGCUUCUACUGUCACUGUCUACCUGGGUUCAGAUCCACAACGACUUUCAAGUUUACUCCUUUCGCUGGGGAGUGUAAGGACCUCAAUGAGUGCCUGGAGAAACCACCGGUUUGUGGCAGCAACACCAUUUGCCUCAACACCAUCGGGAGCUUCAACUGCCAAUGUCAACCUGGGUUCAGAGUUACUGACACUGGACACUGUGCAGACAUAGAUGAGUGUAAUGAGAUCGCUGGUAUCUGUGGAGUGGGCGGGGACUGCCAGAACCAGAAAGGAAGCUACAGUUGCCUCUGUCGCCCUGGAUACAGUAACUACGACAACAAACAGGCUCAGUGCUCAGUACUGACCUGUGACCAGUUCAAAGCGAAUGAGACUCCUGGACAGGUGAGUUUUACAGUACCUGGACCUGAAGUGUCCUUAUACAGCAGCUGAACCGCUAGACAUAGAAUCUCCAUUAUGGCAUCAC